rnacentral:misc_RNA from 1 species
GAAAUUAAUUAGGUUCCAUAAAUAAAACUUCAUCUGAAACAUGGAUGGGCCAAACAAAAAAUAAGCAAGCUCUUGAAUUAAGAACCUUAGGUUCCUGCUUUGUGAAAAGGCUGACAGGAUAAAAUAAAGUUGAAAGUAAAUGACAUUAACUAGGGGUGAUGCACAUAUCCACUUGCUAGUCUCACCUUCCCAUGGUUUCCAUUACUCG